CAGUGUAAAGCCAAAGAGAGGCAUUUAACUGUUAAUUAAAAAAUUGUAUUUUAUACUUCACUGG
rnacentral:tRNA from 1 species